rnacentral:snRNA from 1 species
GUGACUUUAGCAGCACAUGUACUAAAAUUGGAACAAUUCAGAGAUUAGUUAUGGUCCCUGUGCAAGGGUGACAUGCAAAUUCAUGAACUGGUCCUUAUUUUA